rnacentral:rRNA from 1 species
AGAGCGAACGCUGGCGGCAGGCCUAACACAUGCAAGUCGAGCGCCCGUAGCAAUACGGGAGCGGCAGACGGGAUAGUAACACGUGGGAACGCGCCCUUCGGUUCGGAAUAACUCAGGGAAACUUGAGCUAAUACCGAAUACGCCCUUACGGGGAAAGAUUUAUUGCCGAAGGAACGGCCCGCGUCCGAUUAGCUAGUUGGUGAGGUAAUGGCUCACCAAGGCUACGAUCGGUAGCUGGUCUGAGAGGAUGACCAGCAUCACUGGGACUGAGACACGGCCCAGACUCCUACGGUAGGCAGCAGUGGGGAAUAUUGGACAAUGGGCGCAAGCCUGAUCCAGCCAUGCCGCGUGGAUGAUGAAGGCCUUAGGGUUGUAAAGUCCUUUUAACGGGAAGAUAAUGACGGUACCCGUAGAAUAAGCCCCGGCUAACUUCGUGCCAGCAGCCGC